rnacentral:ncRNA from 1 species
CCUGUGGAGUGUUAUAUCAAAUGUUAGUAGUAUAUCGUAAGGUUACGAGGACAGACACGUUGAAACAGGAA